UGGCGGCAACAGCGCGGUGGUCCCACCUGACCCAUGCCGAACUCAGAAGUGAAACGCCGUAGCGCCGAUGGUAGUGUGGGGUCUCCCCAUGCGAGAGUAGGGAACUGCCAGGCA
rnacentral:rRNA from 1 species